UAGGUAUUCAGUGGUUCUGGGCAGCUGAUUCAUUCACAACAGAAUGGCCAUUUUCUCCAGCAUGGCCAACUAUCCCUUGUCUUUUUGCCAUGACAGCCUAGAAGGUAGAAGCUAGGGCUAAGGCUGCUGCUAAGGAAUUCUUCCUCCUACAGGGGCCUAAUAUUAGGCUUUCCUUAUAUUGUGGAGGGGGCCCUGGAGGGUGGUUAGAGACUCUCUUCCUUCCUGCUGGGCAGCCUGAAGAGGAGCAAGAGGAUCUGGUGAGCAAAAUGAAGCAAAGCUUAGGGUAGUGCCUGGAGCUGACAACCCAAUUCCCUGCUGAACAGCAUGCAGUUGGCUCAGGGCUGUUCCCCACCUGGGAGCUUCCUGCCACCCACAGGCUACCCGGCACACACUACUGGGUCAAUGGUCCAGGCCUGUCUGCCACCACAGCGCCCUGUGCCAGAGACCUUUCCUGGCCUCUGCUGGAUCACAUGCCUAAUGUCAUUCCUAGGGACUCCAGAGGCAAGUCCAGGCUAAUAUGCUCUGGGAAAACAAUGGACGAUGUAUGUGUUUGCCUUUUGACCUAGGUAAAUGAUACCUGGAUCCCAGGUCUGGCUCUGGGGCAGGGGAGCUUCAGGCCUGGCUAUGGCAGAACUCUAAAGGAGGUACAUUGGGUUUUCACCACCUCUUAAAUCAUCUCAGAGAGAGAGAGAGAGCCACUUACUUUCACAUGCACAAGCUGCUGCUGGCUCUGUCACAAGAAGAUGAACUACAAGUAGUAAAAUCAAGAUGAAGUCCUGUGUAAAUCUUUGCAGCUUACAAAGAUUGUAGAAAGUUGAAGAUGAAAGGGAUAUUAAAGAGCAUCUUAUUCUACCGCCGCAUUUUGCAGCUGUAAGAACCUCGGCCCAGGGAGGGGGAUUUGGGAAGCCACCAUCACACAGCUGCUCCAUGGCAGGAACUGUGCUGACUUUCUGUGGCUAUUGCCAUGACACCCAGCAUUGUUUGACUUUUGAAGAUAGUAAGGGAGAAAGCAGGCCUUCCAGCGUCUUCACCUCCCACGACGUUUAUUGUUUCCAGCUGUUAAAAAUUGGCCCUUUAAAAAUGGGUCACCCUGCCAGUCAUUGAAGGUCACUGUGGCGGGGAGUGGUGAUUUAGAGGGCUGCAGAACAGGCAGGUGAUUGGAGGCAUAAUUGCCAGUCUCCUCCCUGGCACCUGGGAUUUCUGUCAUUCAAGUCCCUGAGUGUGUGCCCUCAGUAAAUACUAACCCACAGAGUCAAUUGCUAACUGCAGUCAUCUGUGCAUUUGCCCUCUGGGGACAGAAAGCCGAGGGAAAAUGCUAUUUCCUAAUCUAGUUGGCCUUGGAUGGGGAGAUGUUUUUGCCUAAUGGAAGCCUUCGAAAAGUAAAUAUUGUGUAUUUAGGACCUACAGUGCUCCCCAGGAUGCUGUAAGGGACCUGGUUAUAAAGAAAAAAAAACCUCACAGAUGGCUUUGUCUUUGUCUUUGUCUAAGUCCUUUUGGUUCCAAGUAAUCAACUUGAGCUGACUUAAGCAUUAGGGGACAUAUUAGAGUAUAGCAGUAUCUCAUGAAGUUCAAGGGCAGACUGGCCUCCAGGUAACCUGAGAAGCUGCUAGGAACCUAGGCAGCCCACCUUCUCCAGCCUUCUCCUCUGCUUCACAUCUCUGCAAUCCACUUUCUUCUCUGUGAGUAGCUGGGUGGAGGAUAAUCCCUCAAUAACUACCACAUCUGCAUCUUCUCUCCUAAAGAGAUUAGCCAAAGGAGUAUACAGUGGAGUUUUCCAGAAGGCACAUGCCAUGUGCAUCACCACAGACUGAAUGCAGAAGCAGACAUGAGGAUCUAGCUGUCUCUACUAAGCCAGACAUUCAGCACAUUUAAAAGUGUAAAACAAUGCCACUCUCCUCACUAACUUUUUUGUUUUGGAAAAUAGGUCUUUCAUGAAAUAUUAAUUAUGUUGAUAUAUUAUGGGUUUGUUGUUAUUUUAAAUGAAUAAAUAAUUUUUGAUUUAGUUUCUAAUACUGUAAA